rnacentral:rRNA from 1 species
UACGAAGGGGGCUAGCGUUGCUCGGAAUCACUGGGCGUAAGGGGUGCGUAGGCGGGUCUUUAAGUCAGGGGUGAAAUCCUGGAGCUCAACUCCAGAACUGCCUUUGAUACUGAAGAUCUUGAGUUCGGGAGAGGUGAGUGGAACUGCGAGUGUAGAGGUGAAAUUCGUAGAUAUUCGCAAGAACGCCAGUGGCGAAGGCGGCUCACUGGCCCGAUACUGACGCUGAGGCACGAAAGCGUGGGGAGCAAACAGG